rnacentral:lncRNA from 1 species
CGAGUGCCUGCGGACUAGAUCGUGACACUACACCCUGCCACCAGCAGCGUAAGUGCCUUUAGUAGCUCUUCCUCCCGAUGAGUGAUCAUGGGUUGUGUAUGGCCAGCCACUUGCUUUCUUCCUGAUUCCUCUCAACAUCUGGUCACAGCUGGCAGCCUCUUCCAGUGACAUUUUGGACCGUAAGUGGAUCAAGACGCAGCCUUGUCAGCCCCCACAUCUCAGGAUGCUCCAGGGAUCUUGGAAAUAUCUCAAAUAUAAACCAGAAUAUCUUAAACUUGAGGAUGUGUUGAGCAGAUAUGUGACUGCAACGCCAGUGAUCCAGUAGAUAAAAUGGGAAAGCAGAGUCCAUCCCCUAGAGCUUGGGAGGGGCCAAGCUGGUCUCUGAGGAUGGUGAAAAGCAAGAGGGAGGUGACCGUUCACUUGGUCCAGUGCGCUCCACUCCAAUAUUCACUAACGGGAACACGGCUCCUCAGGUGCUGGGGAGGGAAGUAAUCUCAGAAGCACUGAACACUGCUCCUACUUUUCCAAGAUAAUCAUGUGUGGCCUGGGCAGGUCCUCAGGCCCCGUGAGGUCCAGCCUCAGCAGAGUGUCACAUCAGAAACUUUCAAGCAACAACAAAUGACACCAAGAAUCUCAGUCUCCUUUGGAAGAAUAUCGGAGGCAAUCCAAAUUAUAAUAUCUAGAAACACUUCUUUAAAAACCCCUUUUCCAAAAGAAAUAAUUCCAUCAAAAAGUGGACUAAGGACCUGAAUAGAAUAGCCAAAAAACAUAUGAAAAAAUGCUCAACAUCAUUAAUGAUCAGGGAAAUGCAAAUCAAAAACCACAAUGUGAUACCACCUUACUCCUGCAAGAAGGGCCAUCAUUUAAAAAAAAAAAAAAAGACGUUGGCAUGGAUGUGGUGAACAGGAAACACUUCUACACUGCUAGUGGAAAUGUAAACUAGUACAACCGCUAUGGAAAACAGUGUGGAGAUUCCUUAAAGAACUAAAAGUAGAUCUACCAUUUCAUCCAGCAAUCCCACUACCGGGUAUCUACCCAGAGGAGAAGAAGUCACUAUAUGAAAAAGAUACUUGCACACACAUGUUUAUAGCAGCAUAAUUUGCAAUUGCAAAAAUAUGGAACCAGCCCAAAUGCCCAUCAACCAACAAGUGGAUAAAGAAAAUGUGAUAUAUAUAUAUGUAUAGCUAUAUAGAUAUAUACACACACACACACGGCAUGGAAUACUACUCAGCCAUAAACAGGAAUGAAAUAAUGGCAUUUGCAGCAACCUGGAUGGAGCUGGAGACCAUUAUUCUAAGCGAAGUCACUCGGGAAUGAAAAACCAAACAUCAUAUGUUCUCACAAGUGAGGACAUAAAGGCAUAAGAAUGAUACUGGACUCUGGGGACUUGGAGAAAGGGUGGGAAGGAGGUGAGGGGUAAAAGACUACACAUUGGGUACACUGUACACUGCUCGGGUGAUGGCUGCACCAGAGUCUCACAAAUCACCACUAAAGAACUUGUCCAUGUAAUCAAACACCACCUAGUUCCCCAAAACUAUUGAAAUAAUAAAUCAAUAAAACUAUUUUGCCUUCCUUUUUUUUCCUCCAGUUUUUACACAAUUGCUACAGGAG